rnacentral:rRNA from 1 species
CCCCCAGUAACUGCGAGUGAAAAGGGAAGAGCCCAGCGCCGAAGCCGCCGUCCAUCACAGUGGGCGGAGGGCAAUGUGGCGUUAAGGAAGAGCCUCCUUGACCAGACGUUUCGUUGUUCGGACCGCGGGAGCCCGAGUCCCCCUGACCGGGGCCAUCGCCCAUGGCGGGUGCAAGGCCUCUUCGGCUCCGUUCGACGGUUCGAAGGUUGCUGGCUUCUUUCCUCAGAGUCGGGUUGCUUGAGAGUGCAGCCCUAAGCGGGUGGUAAACUCCACCUAAGGCUAAAUAUCACCACGAGACCGAUAGCGAACAAGUACCGUGAGGGAAAGUUGCAAAGAACUUUGAAGAGAGAGUUCAAGAGUACGUGAAACCGCUCGGAGGCAAACGGGUGGGCCCUCGAAGGUCGAACGGGGGAAUUCAGCCUGUCGGCGAGCGCUUCCCGCUGUUGAAAAGCAUUCGUGCGAAACGGAUCCGAAAACAAAGCGGACCGGGCGGCGGGUUUCAAAACAUAAAAAGCGUUUGUCGGCUCGUGCACUUUCCCCUUAGUAGGACGCCGCGACCGGUCGGGUCGAAUAUCGAAAAGUUUUGCGGCCAUGAGGCGAGAACGAUCACGGGGGCAGGUGUCCGUUUCCGCGGGUCUCGUUCAGCGUGCGCGGCGAUCUCGGUCGUCGCGUGUUCGUCUGGCGUUUCCUAGGUUCGGAGUUACAGCCCCUUCUCGACCCGUGCACCGCCACCCGACCGACAAAUGGUCACGUAUCCGUUGACGCGUGCCCGCGUGAAACCUAAAGGUUGAACGCUCGCUCUAGUCCAGGGCAGGCCGGAUGCACGAGUAAAAUUCCCGCAUUGACUCGCUUUAAAAAGCGGGUAGGGGAUCCGACGGACGCCGAAAGCAAAAAACCGAAAAGGCGGCCGUCGGCUCUGCGUCUGCCGUUUCGCCCACGUGGAAUUGGACUCUGGCGUAGAGGCAAAGAAACGCUCGCGNNNNNNNNNNNNNNNNNNNNNNNNNNNNNNNNNNNNNNNNNNNNNNNNNNNNNNNNNNNNNAACGAGCUAAACCCGAUGGCGAAAUGAAAGUAAAGGCCGCCCCCUUCAACGGGGGACACAGAACGGCCGAGGCGAGAUCCUAAAAAAGCCGCGCCGUUCGUCUUCGGGCGUUCGGCCGGCGAAAUUUUUAAAAGAAACCGGACAUGGCAGGCACGCCGGCCCUUCGGCGGCGUCAAAACCGUCGUUGCAGGUCGGCGGUCCGGAGGCGCAUCGCCGGCCCGUCUCGAUUGCUCCGAUCGUCCGCGCCCUUCUCUCUAUUUCCGUCGCUCUCUUGGGCCUCGGAUCGGAGUCGGGCAAGGUCGUGAGGAACUGUAGUCAAUGAGGCGGAGCAAGAGCACACACGUUGGGACCCGAAAGAUGGUGAACUAUGCCCGGGCAGGACGAAGCCAGAGGAAACUCUGGUGGAGGUCCGCAGCGAUUCUGACGUGCAAAUCGAUCGUCGGACCUGGGUAUAGGGGCGAAAGACUAAUCGAACCGUCUAGUAGCUGGUUCCCUCCGAAGUUUCCCUCAGGAUAGCUGGCGCUCGGAAUACGAAAAAUAACAAAAAUGAUGAAACAGUCUCAUCCGGUAAAGCGAAUGAUUAGAGGCAUUGGGGCCGAAACGGCCUCAACCUAUUCUCAAACUUUCAAUGGGUGAGAUGUCCGGCUUUCUUAACGCUAAAAACGGGGGGCGGAUUUCGUCCGGAGCCCGCGGGCGUGUCGCUUCUUUUUCUUUCUCGUCGGUCUUUUCGGAGGUCGUCGGGGGGUUGGAGAUGGCUUCGCGCUUUAGCGGAUACUUCGGCGGCCGCGCAACCCUUUGAAGCACGGACGUAGGAUGCGAGUGCCCAGUGGGCCACUUUUGGUAAGCAGAACUGGCGCUGUGGGAUGAACCAAAAGCCGGGUUACGGCGCCCGAUGCGGACGCUUAUCAGACCCCAUGAAAGGUGUUGGUUGCUAUUGACAGCAGGACGGUGGCCAUGGAAGUCGGAAUCCGCUAAGGAGUGUGUAACAACUCACCUGCCGAAGCAACUAGCCCUGAAAAUGGAUGGCGCUCCAGCGUCGAGCCUAACCCCGGCCGCCGGACGGCAUUGAAAAUUGAACUGAUUAUAAAAAAUCGAUGCCCCGGCGAGUAGGAGGGUCGCGGUGGUGAGCGUUGAAGGGAUCGGGCGCGAGCCUGCCUGGAGCCGCCACCGGUGCAGAUCUUGGUGGUAGUAGCAAAUACUCGAGUGAGAACCUUGAGGACUGAAGUGGAGAAGGGUUCCAUGUGAACAGCAGUUGAACAUGGGUCAGUCGGCCCUAAGGAAUAGGGGAAACCCGUUCUGAAAAGAAACCGGAAUGCAAACAAAUGAAAUAAAGAAAGAGAAGUGAAAAAUGACCGGUGAUGACCGAAAGGGAAUCGGGUUAAUAUUCCCGAACCCGGAUGCGGAGAUCGACCCUCGCGGGUCUGAAGCGGUAACGCGUAACGAACUCGGAGAUUGCCGGCGGGGGCCCCGGGAAGAGUUUUCUUUUCUUUGUAAAGGACGGACUCCCUGGAAUCGGCUCGCCCGGAGAGAGGGAUGUUGUUCCUGUAAAGCACCGCGGCUCUUGCGGUGUCCGGAGCGCUCUCGUCGGCCCUUGAAAAUCCGAGGGAGUGAAUGAAUGAUUUCCGCACCGGACCGUACCCAUAUCCGCAGCA